GACGAACGCUGGCGGCGUGCUUAACACAUGCAAGUCGAACGGAAAGGCCCUGCUUGCCGGGUACUCGAGUGGCGAACGGGUGAGUAACACGUGGGUGAUCUGCCCUGCACUUCGGGAUAAGCCUGGGAAACUGGGUCUAAUACCGGAUAGGAGCCAUUUUUAGUGUGAUGGUUGGAAAGUUUUUUCGGUGUAGGAUGAGCUCGCGGCCUAUCAGCUUGUUGGUGGGGUAAUGGCCUACCAAGGCGGCGACGGGUAGCCGGCCUGAGAGGGUGGACGGCCACAUUGGGACUGAGAUACGGCCCAGACUCCUACGGGAGGCAGCAGUGGGGAAUAUUGCACAAGGGGCGCAAGCCUGAUGCAGCGACGCCGCGUGGGGGAGGACGGCCUUCGGGUUGUAAACGCCUUUCGCUAGGGACGAAGCUUUUUGUGACGGUACCUAGAUAAGAAGCACCGGCUAACUACGUG
rnacentral:rRNA from 1 species